rfam:Cavia porcellus supercont2_84 genomic scaffold, whole genome shotgun sequence.
AUGCUUUUAUGAUUAAUCAACAUAAUUAUCAGGCUUUUACAUCAUCAUGUGAGAUGUGAAUUCCCCAAAUCUUAUUACAGCACUGGUGCAUAACACAUCUGACA